UACGGGGGGGGCAAGCGUUGUUCGGAAUUACUGGGCGUAAAGGGCUCGUAGGUGGCCAACUAAGUCAGACGUGAAAUCCCUCGGCUUAACCUGGGAACUGCAUUCGUGACUGCAUGGCUAGAGUGCGGCAGAGGGGGAUGGAAUUCCGCGUGUAGCAGUGAAAUGCGUAGAUAUGCGGAGGAACACCGAUGGCGAAGGCAAUCCCCUGGGCCUGCACUGACGCUCAUGCACGAAAGCGUGGGGAGCAAACAGG
rnacentral:rRNA from 1 species